rnacentral:misc_RNA from 1 species
CAAUCCACCAAUAGUAGACUCCUUGGCGUAAUUCCAAGUGCUGGAAACGUUGAGAGGUCCAUGCUGCUUGAUGAUAUUGUAAAGAGAGUGAGAAAUUGAAGCAGCUUCAGGGAACGGAACCUUAGGAUUUAUCUUCCUGACAUUCACUGAGCGUUUCCGAGAGAAAUACCUCACCACUGAAUUCUUUAUCAUGCCAAUGUUUCCGCCACCCACCGAAUUCAUCUUCCCGAUUUCUCACUCCUUUGAUUUGCC